rnacentral:misc_RNA from 1 species
UUUCCGUAGGUGAACCUGCGGAAGGAUCAUUAUUGUAUAACCGAGGUGCGAGGGCUGUCGCUGACCCGAAAGAUCGUGCACGCCCGAGUGCCCUCACACACAUCCAUCUCACCCCUAUGUGCACCACCGCGUGGGUCCCCCUUUGGCUUGUUCGGAGGGGGGCUUACGUUUUCACACAAACUUUGUAUGCAGUGUAGAAUGUAUUUUUUGUUUUUGCGAUCACGCAAUCAAUACAACUUUCAACAACGGAUCUCUUGGCUCUCGCAUCGAUGAGAACGCAGC